rnacentral:rRNA from 1 species
UACGUAGGGGGCUAGCGUUGUCCGGAAUCAUUGGGCGUAAAGAGCGUGUAGGCGGUCCGGUAAGUCCACUGUGAAAGUCGGGGGCUCAACCCUCGAAUGCCGGUGGAUACUGUCGGGCUAGAGUGCGGAAGAGGCGAGUGGAAUUCCUGGUGUAGCGGUGAAAUGCGCAGAUAUCAGGAGGAACACCGAUUGCGAAGGCAGCUCGCUGGAACGUUACUGACGCUGAGACGCGAAAGCGUGGGGAGCGAACAGG